rnacentral:rRNA from 1 species
CCCGCUGAACUUAAGCAUAUCAAUAAGCGGAGGAAAAGAAACUAACAAGGAUUCCCCUAGUAACUGCGAGUGAAGCGGGAAAAGCUCAAAUUUAAAAUCUGGCGGUCCUUGUGGCUGUCCGAGUUGUAAUCUAGAGAAGUGCUAUCCGCGCUGGACCGUGUACAAGUCUCCUGGAAUGGAGCGUCAUAGAGGGUGAGAAUCCCGUCUUUGACACGGACUGCCAGGGCUUUUGUGAUGCGCUCUCAAAGAGUCGAGUUGUUUGGGAAUGCAGCUCUAAAUGGGUGGUAAAUUCCAUCUAAAGCUAAAUAUAGGCGAGAGACCGAUAGCGAACAAGUACCGUGAGGGAAAGAUGAAAAGAACUUUGGAAAGAGAGUUAAACAGUACGUGAAAUUGCUGAAAGGGAAACGUUUGAAGUCAGUCGCGUCGGCUGGAGAUCAACCUUGCUCUUGCAGGGCGCACUCUCUGGUUGAUGGGUCAGCAUCAGUUUUGAUCCGUUGGAUAAAGGUCAGGGGAAUGUGGCAUCGAUUCGUUGAUGUGUUAUAGCCCUCGGUCGUAUACAGCGGUUGGGACUGAGGAACUCAGCGCGCCGCAAGGCCGGGUCUUCGGACCACGUUCGCGCUUAGGAUGCUGGCAUAAUGGCUUUAAGCGACCCGUCUUGAAAACACG